CCUACGGGUGGCAGCAGUGGGGAAUAUUGGGCAAUGGAGGAAACUCUGACCCAGCAACGCCGCGUGAAUGAUGAAGGUCUUCGGAUUGUAAAGUUCUUUUCUAAGGGAAGAAGAAAGUGACGGUACCUUAGGAAUAAGCCUCGGCUAACUACGUGCCAGCAGCCGCGGUAAUACGUAGGAGGCAAGCGUUAUCCGGAUUGACUGGGUGGAAAGGGUGCGUAGGUGGGUUGACAAGUUGGUAGCGUAACUUCGCGGCUUAACCCCGGCACUACUACCAAAACUGUUGGACUCGAGUGCAGGAGGGGCAAAUGGAAUGCCGAGGGUAGCGGUGGAAUGCGUAGAUAUUAGGAGGAACACCAGUGGCGAAGGCGAUUUGCUGGACUGUAACUGACACUGAGGCACGAAAGCGUGGGGAGCAAACAGGAUUAGAUACCCGGGUAGUC
rnacentral:rRNA from 1 species